rnacentral:rRNA from 1 species
UACGUAGGGUGCAAGCGUUGUCCGGAAUUAUUGGGCGUAAAGAGCUCGUAGGCGGUGUGUCGCGUCGGCCGUGAAAACUUGCAGCUUAACUGUGGGCGUGCGGUCGAUACGGGCAUCACUGGAGUUCGGUAGGGGAGACUGGAAUUCCUGGUGUAGCGGUGAAAUGCGCAGAUAUCAGGAGGAACACCGACGGCGAAGGCAGCACUCUGGGCCGGUACUGACGCUGAGGAGCGAAAGCGUGGGGAGCAAACAGG